rnacentral:rRNA from 1 species
AAGGCUAGGUGGGCCAGGCGACGGUUGUCCUGGUUCAAGUGCGUAGGCUUGAGAGUUAGGUAAAUCCGGCUCUCUCUAAGGCUGAGACACGACGUCGAGCACCUACGGGUGUGAAGUCAUUGAUGCCAUGCUUCCAGGAAAAGCCUCUAAGCUUCAGAUAGUUAGGAAUCGUACCCCAAACCGACACAGGUGGUCGGGUAGAGAAUACCAAGGCGCUUGAGAGAACUCGGGUGAAGGAACUAGGCAAAAUGGUACCGUAACUU